CACCGCCUGGGGAGUACGACCGCAAGGUUAAAACUCAAAUGAAUUGACGGGGACCCGCACAAGUAGUGGAGCAUGUGGUUUAAUUCGAAGAUACGCGCAGAACCUUACCAACACUUGACAUGUUCGUCGCGACUUUAAGAGAUUAAAGUUUUCGGUUCGGCCGGACGAAACACAGGUGCUGCAUGGCUGUCGUCAGCUCGUGUCGUGAGAUGUUGGGUUAAGUCCCGCAACGAGCGCAACCCUCACUUUUAGUUGCCAUCAUUUAGUUGGGCACUCUGAAAGAACUGCCAGUGAUAAGCUGGAGGAAGGUGGGGAUGACGUCAAGUCCUCAUGGCCCUUACGUGUUGGGCUACACACGUGCUACAAUGGUAUCUACAACAGGAAGCAAAACGGCAACGUUAAGCAAAUCCUUAAAAGAUACCUCAGUUCGGAUUGCACUCUGCAACUCGAGUGCAUGAAGCUGGAAUUACUAGUAAUCGUGGAUCAGCGUGCCACGGUGAAUGCGUUCCCGGGUCUUGUACACACCGCCCGUCACACCAUGGGAGUUGGUUCUACCUUAAGGCAAGGUUUUAAACCCUUGACCACGGUAUAGUCAGCGACUGGGGUGAAGUCGUAACAAGGUAGCCGUAGGGGAACCUGCGGCUGGAUUACCUCCUUUCUAAGGAUGAAUAAAAGUAAAAUUUUAUUCUAAAUAAUAUACAUAGGCUAAUGUUGACCGUCCUCAUUUCUCUUCUUAAUUAGUGUUUCUCUUGCAUGGGGGCCGGUAGCUCAGUUGGUUAGAGCACACCCUUGAUAAGGGUGGGGUCGAAAGUUCGAGUCUUUCUCGGCCCACCAAUUAAAGAUUAAGGGGGAUUAGCUCAGCUGGGAGAGCGCCUGAUUUGCAUUCAGGAGGUCAGCGGUUCGAUCCCGCUAUCCUCCACCAAACACUUAGUUAUAAAAAAUUGUAAUAAAAAUAAUUAAUAUCAAUAUCUAUAUCCGGAACAUUAGAAAUGUAUUAGCUAAUGUUCAAUAAUAAAAAUUUGGAUUCAACACAGAAAUUUUUUUCUGG
rnacentral:sRNA from 1 species